UUUGGGCAGAGAUGGCUACCCUUCUGGGGCCUGGGCAGUUUCAGCGCCAACAGCACUUACCCCUCCUUCCACCAGGGGGAUGACGAUGCUCCUGCCCUUCCAACUCCAGGUGCCCUGCUGCGUGGAGAGUCCUGUCACUGUGCCCCACCGCCACACCUGUCUUUGAGAUGAACCCUGACCUCCGUGAUGCAGGCUGCUUUGAUCACAGCCCCCCGCCAUUGUGAUGAGUGACGGGCUAACCUCCUGGGUGUCUGCCCCUGACUCACCCUCUCAGAACAAGCCGCUGGGGGCCCAGCACCCCCGAGCCAGCACGGACUCUGGCAGCAGCGCCGGAAGGGCACCAUGAUUGAUUCAAGGAGAGGCUUAUGACCCAAGGUAGGCCAAUGAGCACCAUCCUAGCUCCUGGGAGAGUCUCUCUUUCUGAGACAGCAGGCACUAAGAACUGUUGGAGCCUGGAGCUGUCUGAGGCCAUCUUGGCCACCAAUCGAAGGGAGCCUGGCCAAAGAAUAAAAUUAGCAGACAAAACAAGACCCAAGAGAUGGAGACAGAAAUUGACUGUAUCAUGAAGACAUCAAGCUCCUGGAUGCAACCAUGCCUGAAGCUUACACUACUUUCGGACCUUGCAGUUUGUGUGAGCCAAUAUAUUCCUUUCCCUGCUGAA